UACGUAGGGGGCGAGCGUUGUCCGAAGUUACUGGGCGUAAAGCGCGCGUAGGCGGGUUGGCAAGUCUGCUGUGAAAGCCCGGGGCUUAACUCCGGAGGGUCGGUGGAUACUGCCAGUCUUGAAGGUGCUAGGGAGAGAUGGAAUUACCGGUGUAGCGGUGAAAUGCGCAGAUAUCAGGAGGAACACCGGUGGCGAAGGCGGGUCUCUGGGCCGAUACUGACGCUGAGGAGCGAAAGCGUGGGGAGCGAACAGG
rnacentral:rRNA from 1 species